rnacentral:rRNA from 1 species
GAUGAACGCUGGCGGCGUGCCUAAUACAUGCAAGUCGAGCGAACGGACGAGAAGCUUGCUUCUCUGAUGUUAGCGGCGGACGGGUGAGUAACACGUGGAUAACCUACCUAUAAGACUGGGAUAACUUCGGGAAACCGGAGCUAAUACCGGAUAAUAUUUUGAACCGCAUGGUUCAAAAGUGAAAGACGGUCUUGCUGUCACUUAUAGAUGGAUCCGCGCUGCAUUAGCUAGUUGGUAAGGUAACGGCUUACCAAGGCAACGAUGCAUAGCCGACCUGAGAGGGUGAUCGGCCACACGAGAACUGAGACACGGUCCAGACUCCUACGGGAGGCAGCAGUAGGGAAUCUUCCGCAAUGGGCGAGAGCCUGACGGAGCAACGCCGCGUGAGUGAUGAAGGUCUUCGGAUCGUAAAACUCUGUUAUUAGGGAAGAACAUAUGUGUAAGUAACUGUGCACAUCUUGACGGUACCUAAUCAGAAAGCCACGGCUAACUACGUG